rnacentral:lncRNA from 1 species
GCGGGUCAAGACGGCCCAAGACGGUUUAAGGCAGCCCUUUAACGGGUCAAGGCGGCCCAAGGUGGGUCAAGGCGGCCCAAGACGUGUCAAGACGGCCCAAAGCGUGGCAAGGCAGCCCUUUGGCGGGUCAAGGCAGCCAUUUGGCGACCCAAGGCGGGUCAAGGGGGGGCAAAGCGGCCCAAGGUGAGGCAAGGCUGGUCAAGGCAGCCCAAGACGGGUCAAGGUGGGCCAAGGCGGGUUACGGCAGCCCUUUAACUGGUUAAGGCGGCCCAAGGCGGGUCAAGGCGCCCCAAAGCGGCUUAAGGCGAGUCAAGGCGGCCCAAGAUGGUUCAGAGCAGCCCCUUAACGGGUCAAGGCGGCCCAAGGCGGGUUUAGACAGGUCAAGGCGGCCCAAGGUGUGUUAAGGCGCCCCUUAACGGGUCAAGGUGGCCCAAGGCGCGUUAAGACGGCCACUUGGCGGCCAUAAGCGUGUUAAUACAGCCCAAGGCAGGUAAAGGCAGCCCAAGACGGAGAAAAGCGGCCCAAGGCAGGGCAAGGCUGGUCAAGGCGGGGCAAAGCGGCCAAAAGCGGGUUAAGGCGGGCCAAGGCGGGUCACGACAAGGUAGCCCUCAAGGAGUCAAGGUUGGUUAAGGCGGCCCUAAACGGGUCAAAGCGGGUUAAGGCUGCCCAAGGCGGGUCAAGGUGGCCGCUUGGCGGCCUUAAGUGCGGCCCAAGACGGGUCAAGACGGCCACUUGGUGGCCCUAAGAGGGUUAAGGCAGGGCAAAGCGGCCCAAGACGGGGCCAGGCUGAUUAAGGCAGCCCAAGACGUGUCAAGGCGGGCCAAAGCGGCUCACGGCAGCCCCUUAACAUGUCAAGACGGCCUAAGGCGGGUUAAGGCGGCUCAAAGAGGGUCAAGGCGGCCACUUGGCAGCCCAAGACGGCCCCUUAGCGGCUAUAGGCAUGUCACGGCGGCCCUUUGGCUGCCCUAGAUGGGUCUUGGCAGCCCAUUAGCGGGUUAAGGGAGGUUAAAACGGCAUAAAGAGUGUAUAGGUAGCCUUUUGGCUGGUCAAGGCGGGUCAAGGCAGCCUAAGGCGGUUCAAGGCAGCCCCUUAAUGGGUCAAGGCGGCCCAAGGCGGGUCAAGGCUGGUCAAGGUGGCCCAAGGCUGGUCAUGGAGUCCCAAGCGGGGCUAGGAGGGUCAAGGUAGCCCUUAACGGGUCAACGCGGGUCAAGACAGCCCAAGGUGGCCCUAGUUGUGUCUUGGCGGGACAAGACGGCCCUUGGCGGGUCAAGGUGACCCUAGGCGGUCGUAGGAGGGUCAAGGAAGCCCCUUUAACGGGUGAACCAAGGCGGGCCUAGAAGGGUCAAAACGGCCCCUUGGUGGCCCUAGACGGGUCAAUGCGGCCUCUUAACGACCUUAGGCGGGUCAAAGCGGCUCUUUGGAUGCUCUAGAUAGGUCUUGUCAGCCCCUUGGCGGGCCUAAAAGGCCCCUUCACGAGUCAAGGCGGGUCAAGAUGGCCACUUGGCAGCCCUAGGCGGGUCAGUGCGGCCCCUUGGUUGUCCAAAACGGGUCUUGGUAGCUCCUUGGUGGGUCAAGGCGGCCCCUUGGUGUCCUUAUACGGGUCUUGGUCCUAGUUGAGUCUUGGCGGGCCUAAGGGAGGUUAAAGCCACCCUAGGCGUGUAAAGGCAGCCCCUUGGCAGGUUAAGGCGAGCCUAGGCGGGCUUAAAAGAGUCAAGGCAACCACUUAACGGGUCAAGGAGGCCUAAGACGAGUCAACGCAGCCCAAGACAGUUCAAGGCAGCCCUUAACGGGUCAAGGGCGGCCCAAGGCGUAUCAAGGCGGCCCAAGGUGGGCCUAUGGGAGGUCAAAGCGGCCCUAGGCAUGUAAAGGCAGCCCUGUUGACCCGCCUUGGGCCGUCUUGACCCUUCUUGGGCCAACUUGGACCGCUUUGACCUGCCUUAACCCGCUUUGGGCCGCCUUCACCCUUCUUGACCUUCCUAGACCCUCCAAGGAGACCCUUUGACCCGCCUUGAUCCACCUUAACCCGCCUUGGCACCUUUACCCUUCUAAACCCGCCAAGGGGCCACCUUGACUCGCACAAGGCUGCCUUGACCCUCUUAGGCCUGCCUAGGGUUUCCAAGGGGUCGCCUUAACCCACCAAGAGGCCGCUUUAACCCUCAUAGGGCCGCUAAGGGGUUUCCUAGACCUUCUUAGACCCAUCUAAGGGCAUCAAGGGGCCGCCUUGACCUGUCUAGGGCCUCCAAAGGGUCGCCUUGACUCGCCCAGGGCUGCCUUGACCCGCCUUGACUCUCCUAGACCCUCCAAGGGGCCGCCUUGAUCUGCCUUAACCCACCUUAACCCGCCCAUGGUUGCUUUAACCCUUUUAAGCCCGCCAAGGGCCACCAAGGGGCCGCCAUGACCCUCUUAGGGCCGCCAAGAGGCCACCUUAACGCAUUUAGGGCCGCGAUGGCCUGUCAUGGGCCACCUUGACCCGCCUUGGCCGCCUUGACACUGAUACGGGCGCCAAGAUGUCGCCUUAACCAAUCUAAGGCCGACAAGGGGCUGCCUUGACCGGCCUUGGCCCGCCUUGACCCGCCUUGACCCGCCUCUGGCCGCCUUGACCCUCAUAGGGCCGUCUUGACCCGCCUUGACCCGCCUUGGACCGCUUUGACUCGCCUUAACCCGGCUUGGUCGCCUUUCUCGUCUAGGGCCGCCAAGGGGCUGCCUUGACCAUCCUAGGCUCUAUUAAGCCCACCUAGGGCCACCAAGGGGCCGCCUUAACCCGCCAAGAGGCCACCUUGACGCACCUAUGGCCGUUAAGGGAUUGCCUAGACCCAUCUAGGGGAACCAAGGGGCUAUCUUGACCCGUCUAGGGCCGCCAGGGGGCCGCCUUGACCUACUCAGAGCUGCCUUGACCUGCCUAGGGAUGUCUUGUCUUGACUUGCCUUGGCCGCUUUGACCCUCCUAGGGCCGCCAAGAGGUCGCCUUAACCCAUCUAGGGCUGUCAAGUGGUCGUCUUGACCUGCAUUGGCCCGCCAAGAAGCCACCUUAACCCAUUUAGGGCUGCCAAAUGGCCACUUUGGCCCGCCAUAGGCCGCCUUGACCCGCCUAGGGCUAUUUUGACCCUUUUAGGCCCGACUAGGGCAACUAAGGGGCCGCUUUGAUCCUCUAAGGGUCGCCAAGAGUCCACCUUAACCCAUUUAGGGCCGCCAAGGGGCCACCUUCACCUGUCUUGGGCCGCCUUCAUUUGUCUUGGGCCGCCUUCACCCGCCAUGGGCCACCUUGACCCGCCUUGACACUCUUACGAGCGCCAAGAGGCCGCCUUAACCCAUCUAGGGAUGCCAAGGGGCCGCCUUGACCCUUCUUGACCCUCCAAAGGGCGACCUUGACCCUCUUAGAGCCGUCAAGAGGCCGUCUUAACCCAUUUAGGGCCGCCAAGGGGCCACCUUGCCCCGCCUUGAUCCGCCUUGGCAGCCUUGACCCUCCAUGGGCCGCUAAGAGGCCGCCUUAACUCGCAUUGGCCUGCCAUGGGAAGCUGAGGAGAGAGAGAUUCGAAGAAGGGAAACUUUUCUAGGUUGCCGGCGAGUUCUCGAUUCCGGCCACGGCGGUGGGCGUGGAUGGUGUUGGUAGCUUUGUCUCGGUCUUGUUCACGUUCCUGUGCCUUCAGCUUGUUGAGAUGAUGUCCGGUGAGUGAGAACCGAUGUUAAGGAGUGGUUUAAAUUUUUCGACGAGAGUUCGACGGAUUCCGGUGUGCUUUGAUGUCGACUCAGGUAUGAAAAUGGGCUAGUUAGUCGAGCUCUACCUGCUUAUAUAAUUGGAAUUGAGAUUGGUUGGGAUUUGAAGAAGUUGGGUUUUGGCAGAGGAGGACCGCCGUGUGUGCUGCUGUGCACGGCGGCGGUGAAGGUGUUUGAUUCAUAUCUGGUUUCGAAUUUCAUAUUCUCUGUGUACUUGAGAUGCAGUUUUGAUUGAAAAUUGAAGGUUUGGAAUUUUGGAGUACUGUGUUGGUGUUGGCAUGAGCGGUAAUUGGCAGCGGUGAUGAUUUUGGAUUUGUUGUUCAUAUCAGGUUAUUGUGUUGGUGUUGCUGGGAGUGAGAAUAAUAAUCGUGUUACUCUGAUUUUGGUGGUUUCAUGUAUCUGUUGAUUGAUGAUGUUUUGUCAAAUGGAGGUUUGAUCUCAAAAAUGGAGGAAGUAGAAGAAAGAUGUUAAGUUGGAUAAUGAAAGUAUCUGUAGGUGUACUUGUUCCUUAUGAGUAAGUUCGUAUGCCUAGAACGAUAUUGUAGAAUGGUUAAAAAGAAUGAGCAUGGUAUUGGAUUUGGGAAGAAUUGCAAAAGCAAGAGGAAUCCCAAAUAGAGGUGUUGGGUGUCCAUAGUAAAAUCAGAGAUAAGUUAGUAAUUGAAGUGUUGAUAUGAGCAAGCUUAAAGGUGAAUUGGAAUGUGACGAUGAACUUAUUAUGAGCGAGCAUGGUAUGUAAUUAGGAAACUAUCGGAGAAAGUGAGAGGGAGUGUGGGAUUGAGAACUUGGGUGUCCUUAUCAAUUUGAGGACUUACACCCACACAAAUUCCAGAUUCGACACAGUUGUUAUUGAAGGUGGAGAAUUAGUAUAAAAUGAUGAACUACGAGUGGUUUGAUCCCUUUAAAAAGGUACGUAGGCAGCCCGAUCGAGUUUUGGGUGCAGCCGCAAAUUAACAAAAUAAAUUUAGGUUUCAAACACAACAAACCUUCUGUCUGUUUUGAGGUCCUACCACCGUUUCGAUUUAGGAUUUUCUUAGUUAUUUUAUUCGUUUAUUUUUCCUAACACCUGGGUCAGGGUGUUACAAAGACGACCCAAGGCUGGUCAAGGCGGGCCAAGGCUGAUCAAAGCGGCCACUUGACAACUCAAGACGACCCUAGGCGACCCCUUGGUGGUCCCAAAUGGGUCUUGGCAGCUCUUUGGUAGGUUAAGGCGGCCCCUUGGUGUCCUUAGACGGGUCUUGGAAGCCCUUUGGCGGGUCAAGCCAGCCCUAGUUAAGUCUUGGUGGGACUAAGGGAGGUCAAAGUGGCCCUAGGCGUGUAAAGGCAGCCCCUUAGCGGGUUAAGGCGACCCUAGGCGGGCCUAAAAGGGUCAAGGCAACCACUUAACGGAUCAGGGCGGCCCAAGACGGGUCAACGCAGCCCAAGACGGUUCAAGGCAGCCCCAUAAUGGGUCAAGGCGGCCCAAGGUAGGUCACGGCGGCCCCUUAACGGGUCAAGGCGGCCUACAAAGGGUCAAGGCGGGUAAGGGCGGCCCAACGCGUGUCAAGGCAUCCCAAGGCGUGUCAAGGUGGCCCAAGGAGGGUCAUGACGACCACUUGGCGGGUCAAGGCGGGUUAAGACGGCCCAAUGCGAGUCAAGAUGGGCACACUGCAGCCCUAAGCUAGACAAGGCGGGUUAAGGCGCCCAAGCGGGUCAAGGCAGCCCCUUAAUGGGUCAAGGCGGCCCUAAGCGGGUCAAGGCGGGGCAAAGCGGCCCAAGGCUAGGCAACGCUGGUUAAGGCAGCCCAAGACGGGUCAAGUCGGGCCAAGUUGGGUUACGGCAGCCCCUUAACGGAUCAAGGCGGGUUAAGGCAGCCUAAGGCGGUUUAAGGCGGCCACUUGGCUGCCCAAAGCGGCCGAAGACGGUCCCUUGGCGGUUAUAGGUUGGUCACGGCGUCCCCUUGGCGACGCUAAACGAGUCUUGGUAUCCCCUUAGCAGGUCAAGGCGGCCCCUUGGUGGCCCUAGACAUGUCUUGAUAGCCCCUUGGCGGCUUAAGAGAGGUUAAAGCGGCCAAAAGCAUGUAAAGGUAGCCUCUUAGAGGGCCCAGAAGGCCCCUUGGCGGGUCAAGACGACCACUUGGCGGCCCAAGGCGGGUCAAGACGGCCCAAUGUGGGGCAAUGCUGGUCAAAACGGCCACUUGACGGCCCAAGACGACCCUUUGGAGGCCCUAGGCGGGUCACGGUGGCCCCUUGGUGGUCCAAAACGGGUCUUGGCAGCUCCUUGGUGGGUCAAGGCCGCCCCUUUGUGUCCUUAGAUUGGUCUUGGCAGCCCUUUGGCUGGUCAAGUCAGCCCUAGUUGAGUCUUGGCGGGCCUAAGGGAGGUCAAAGCGGCCCAAGGCAUGUAAAGGUAGCCCCUUGGUGUCCUUAGAUGGGUCUUGGCAGUCCCUUGGCAGGUCAAGGUGACCUAAGACGGGGCAAUGCUGGUCAAGACGACCCUAGGCGAGUCUUGGCCGGCCCAAGGGAGGUCAAAGCGGCCCUAGGCGUGUAAAGGCAGCCCCUUGGCUGGUCAAGAAGACCCUAAGCGGCCGAAGGCAGUCGAAGGCGCCUCAAGGCGGCCUAAAACGGUUCAAGGCAGCCCCAUGGUGGCCCUAAACAAGUCUAGGCGGCCAUAGUUGAGUCUUGGCGGGCUUAAGGGAGGUCAAAGCGGCCCUAGGCGUGUAUAGGUAGUUCAACGCGGAUCAAGGCGUGUAAAGGUAGCCCAAAACGGAUCAAGGCGUGUCAAGGCGGCCCAAGGCGAGUCAAGACGGCUAAUUGGCGGCCCUAAGCGGGUCAAGGCGGCUUAAGGCGGGUCCUAAGGCGGGUAAAGGCAUCCUAAGACGAUUCAAGGCAGUUCCUUAAUGGGUUAAGGCGGCCCAAGACGGGUUAAAGCGGCCACUUGGCGGCCCUUUGCGGGUUAAGACGGGUCAAGACGGCCACUUGGCGGCCUUAAGCGGGUUAAGGCGGUCAAAGGUUUGGGCAAGGCUGGUCAAGGCGGCCCAAGGUGGGCAAGGCGGGUCGCGACAGCCCCUUAACAUGUCAAGGUGGGUCAAGGCGGCCCAAAAUGGGUCAUGGCGAUAACUUGGCGGCCCAAGGCGGCCCCUUAGCGGCUAUAGGCAGGUCACGACAACCCCUUGGCGGUGCUAAACGGGCUUUGGUAUCCCCUUAGCGGGUCAAGGCAUCCCUUUGGUGGCCCUAGACGGGUCUUGGCAGCCACUUGGUGAGUUAAGGGAGGUUAAGCGUGUAAAUGUAACCCCUUGGCUGGCCUACAAGGCCCGUUAGCAGGUUAAGGCGGCCCAACGCAAGUCACGACGAGUCAAGGCGGGUCAAGGCGGCUCCAAUGCGUCAAGGCGGCCCAACGUAGGUCACAGCGAGUCAAGGCGGCCUAAGGCAUGUCAAGGCUGCCCAAGGCAAGUUAAGACGGCCACUUGGCGGCCCUAAACGGGUCAAGGUGGCUCCAAGGCGUGUCAAGGCGACUCCAAGGCCGGUCAAAGUGGGUUAUGGCCGACCAAGGCAGGUCAAGGUGGGUCAAGGCGGCCUAAGGUGAGUCAAGGCAGCCUAAGACGGUUCAAGGUAGCCCCUUAACGGGUUAAGUAGGCCUAAGACAGUUCAAGGCAGCCCCUUAACGGGUCAAAGCGUGUCAAGGCUGCCCAAGGCGGGUCGAAGGCGGCCUAAGGCGGGUCAAGACGGCCACUUGGCGGUCCUAAGCGGGUUAAGGCGGCCUAAGGCGGGGCAAAGCGGCCGAAGGCGGGGCAAG